rnacentral:rRNA from 1 species
CUACGGGCGGCUGCAGUGGGGAAUAUUGGACAAUGGGGGAAACCCUGAUCCAGCAAUGCCGCGUGUGUGAAGAAGGCCUGCGGGUUGUAAAGCACUUUCGGUUGGGAGGACUGCUUCUAGCACUAAUAUUGUUGGAAGUUGACGUUACCUUCAGAAGAAGCACCGGCUAACUCCGUGCCAGCAGCCGCGGGUAAUACGGAGGGUGCAAGCGUUAAUCGGAAUUACUGGGCGUAAAGCGCGCGUAGGCGGCUAGAUCAGUCGGGUGUGAAAGCCCCGGGCUUAACCUGGGAACUGCAUCCGAUACUGUCUAGCUUGAGGACAGGAGAGGAGAGUGGAAUUCCACAUGUAGCGGGGAAAUGCGUAGAUAUGUGGAGGAACACCAAUGGCGAAGGCAGCUCUCUGGCCUGAUACUGACGCUGAGGUGCGAAAGCGUGGGGAGCAAACAGGAUUAGAUACCCCUGUAGUC